CUCCUCUCCCUCCUCAAUUCCCCUCCCCACCUUUUUUUCCCCCUUUUUGCUAUUUUGAAAAAAAAAAAAAGGUGGGGAGGGGAAUUGAGGAGGGAGAGGAG
rnacentral:miRNA from 1 species